GUGAUCUUCAGAAAUAUUUUGAGUGCAAUAUCCAUAUUUGUAGGAUAUAUGCAGAUAUCUAAGAAAGAUUUUUUUAAGGGACAGCUCUCAUUUACAUGUAUGAGCAAUGACAUUUUUAAUUUAAAAAACCUACAUUUUUACAUCUCAUAAAAAUGCACACCUCAGUGAUUUCACAGAUCUAUACACGUGAUAAAAUGGCAUUGAACAGUGGAACACAGGGUAUCCACAUCAAAGACCUGGUCUUGGCCUUGGACUGUGGUUUCGUAGGAAGUAACCAUUGGGUGAAGUUGAUUGAAGAGUGGGCAUACUCCUUGCAACUUAUUGCAAACAUAUAUCUAUUACAAAAUGAAAAGUAAAGUAAAAUAGAGCAGAAACAUUCCCCUCCUUGCAGAGUUGAACAUAUUUUGUGGUAUAUUCUGCAAGCAGAUGUGAGCCAAGAGGUAAAGCUGUAAAUUAGUGUCUCUGUUUCCAAGCUUCCUGUCAGCCAAUUAUAAAAACAAACACAACAAUUGCAUUACAAAACAAGAGCUCGAAGGUAAAUGUUAAAAAGGAUGGCACCAGACUUCUGGUAGGCGUCUGUACGUGUUUUGCCGAGGGAAGGACAUUGUCCCACUUUUAUAAAAGGUGGUUCA
rnacentral:lncRNA from 1 species